GGACGAACGCUGGCGGCAUGCCCUAACGACAAUGCAAAGUCGAACGGGGGGUAGUAAGUACCCUAGUGGCGAACGGGUGAGUAACACAUAAGCAAUCUGCCCUUCGACAGGGGGAUAACAGCGGAAACUGCUGCUAAUACCGCAUAAGACCACGGUACCGCAUGGUACAGGGGUAAAAAACGGAUCAGUGGUGAAAGGAUGAGCUUAUGUCCCAUUAGCUAGUUGGUGAGAUAACCAGCCCCACCAAGGCGACGAUGGGUAGCCGACCUGAGAGGGUGAUCGGCCACACUGGAACUGAGACACGGUCCAGACUCCUACGGGAGGCAGCAGUGGGGAAUAUUGGGCAAUGGAAGGAAACUCUUACCCAGCAAUGCCGCGUGAGUGAAGAAGGUCUUCGGAUUGUAAAGCUCUUUGAUUGGGGACGAAGAAAGUGACGGUACCCAAAGAACAAGCCCCGGCUAACUACGUGCCAGCCGCCGC
rnacentral:rRNA from 1 species